ensembl:lncRNA
CAAAAACAACGAAGCUGAUGAGAUAAAAUAUAUAAAAUUUUGACUUUGUACUGUUUUUGGUGAAGGUCAAAGUGGAUGUAUAAAUCACUGCUUUCUGUUUUUAUUCACAUUUUACAUUCUGUUCUAACUUUUCUGGAAUUGGGUUUGUAUAUUUGGUCCAGAGCAACAACAUAAUUGGUCAAUCACUUAUUACAGUCUCCUCUCCUCAUCUGUGACGGUGUGACCACAGUUACCCUCACUGUGGAUCACUCUGCGCUUCUUUAAAGAUGUUUCGCUGAAACUAAACAAAAUCAGUCUUUUCACUGUUUUAGGCUGCAUUUCCUUUUUUUCCCUGUCUGCUAUAGCACUGCUUCCUGAAGUCAGGGAUGAUCACGACGGGUCCACCUUUUGUAUGUUGCGCUCCAUCCAACCGAACUUGUGGAAUGGAGAAUGGAAUUGCUAUGAGGAAGAUGCCCGUCACAUAUGUGUGUGAUCAGGAGGGUUCUGCAGUGAGUUUGACGAGUGAGGACGGUGGGUUGCUGUGUACAUCAUGUGUGAAACGACGCCUUGGCGCACUCUCAGCUCUGCUGACCGUUCCCUCAUCCACAUCUUAGGGAGGUUCUCCUUUCGAGUCUUGGUUCCUCUCAGUGGUUCUUCCUCAUCUUCUUAGGGAUUUUCUCCUUUCGAGUCUUGGUUCCUCUCCGUGGUUUUCUCCUUUUGAGUCUUGGUUCCUCUCAGUGGUUCUUCCUCAUCUUCUUAGGGAUUUUCUCCUUUCGAGUCUUGGUUCCUCUCCGUGGUUUUCUCCUUUUGAGUCUUGGUUCCUCUCAGUGGUUCUUUCUCAUGCUCUUAGGAACCAAGACUGCAAAGGAGAAACUCCCUCUGAGUGGUUCUUCCUUAAUGCUCUUAAGGAGGUUCUCUUUUUGAGUCUUGGUUCCUGUCAGAACCUCUAAGUGUGCACACCUCUGGUCCUGGGUUGGCUCAUCUGUUAAUUGCCAGAUUGUACAGGAACAGCUAAGCUGUGCAUUUUAAAUUAAAGAUCUAAUAAAAAUCUAACACAGACCCAUGAGAUGACUGGUGUAUCUUAUGAUGUACUUCAUGCUGAUAAUUUCCAGAUGUUUGUGUUAUUAUCCUGAACAGCUGCACAGCUCUUGCGUUACCUUCUUUAUUCAUAACCAGUGCCAGAAAAAGAAAUCUGCUUGUAUGUUUUAUUUCUUUUACAUUUUUUAAAUCAUAUUUUGAAUAUUAGGACAAUUCCCAAAUAUUAUAAACUUUAAACAGUUAAAUAUCUCUCAGUAGUUUUCACUGGUCGUCGCGCCCGUUUGCCUGUUUUUCUUUUAAAAGGAAGCCCACAGGAAACAUCACAUUCACAGCCUUUUCACUGUAUAAUCUCUGAAAUCUGCACAGAAUCAUAAAUUGUUGCCGACAGGAGUAAAUGCAUUCCUGCAGAUGCAUAUUUAAGUUAGUGACGUUCCAAAUACAGUAACUUCAGUUUUCCCUACAAUAAGACCAAAUGAUGACCUGAAUAUUACAGCUCAACACUUUUUAACUCUGACCUGAUCUGUCCAGGGUUCAUGGUGUAUCUCUAAUAGACUAGAGUUCCCAAAUCACAGCCGUUUACCUCCAAAACUGACACAAUCCUGUACUGAUGGGUGACCAUGACCUGCAGGUGGACUUCAACAUGACCUGAAGUAACAGGCACUCACAAUAAAACAUGCCCAACUUAUUUUAACCUCUUCAAAUUUCAGGCUUUUUACAUACUAAGGCUUAUUAUUCAGUAACUGCAGGGACAUCAGUGCAAACUGGCUGAGCUGCUGUUGGAUUGAAGUGUGUAAUAAAAGGGUGGGCCUGGCAUGUUAAGGGUUAAGUUUAAUGAAUAGCUGCCUUUUUAUUUUAACACCGUAAGAAGAAAGUAGUAAACACAGCACCUGUUUAGCUGGAUUAGUAGGCCAGACAGAUUUUAGUGUAUAGGAACGUUUAUGUAGGUAAUUAAUACACUAACAUCACGUAGUAGGAAUGUAGGAACAUUUACUGAGGUCGUUUAUAGACGAUCUCCUGUUCUAGGUCAUACAACCCCAAUUCCAGUGAAGAAAAGCCACACAUUUUCAAUGGGAGACGGUCUGGACUGCAGGCAGGCCAGUCUAGUACCCGCACUCUUUUACUACGAAGCCACGCUGUUGUAAC